rnacentral:rRNA from 1 species
GAAUAUUGGUCAAUGGAGGAAACUCUGAACCAGCCAUGCCGCGUGCAGGAUGACAGCCCUAUGGGUUGUAAACUGCUUUUAUCAGGGAAGAAACCUUUGGAUUUAUCCGAAGCUGACGGUACCUGAUGAAUAAGCACCGGCUAACUCCGUGCCAGCAGCCGCGGUAAUACGGAGGGUGCAAGCGUUAUCCGUAUUUACUGGGUUUAAAGGGUGCGUAGGCGGGUCUAUAAGUCAGUGGUGAAAGCCUCGAGCUCAACUCGGGAAUUGCCAUUGAUACUGUAGACCUUGAGUAUAGUUGAGGUGGGCGGAAUGAAUCAUGUAGCGGUGAAAUGCAUAGAUAUGAUUCAGAACACCAAUUGCGAAGGCAGCUCACUAAACUAUAACUGACGCUGAGGCACGAAAGCGUGGGGAGCGAACAGG